rnacentral:tRNA from 1 species
UCCUCGGUAGCUCAGUGGCAGAGCGGUCGGCUGUAAACCGAUUGGUCGUAGGUUCAAAUCCUACCCGGGGAG